CUACCUACCUUAGGAAAUAUUAACAGGAGUAUGUACUGUGACAGAUAGCCCCAGGCAGUGUUUAUGACCGCCAGCACAUGGUCUCUCAGACGGUAACGGCAGCAUGUUUACUCGGCACUAGAGGGCAGAUGUUCGGAGUGUCUACAGGUGUUGUUGUCAUGGGGUGUUUGACCACCGCAGACGGUAAUUAGCGGCUCAGCCCUUCACGCUGGCCGCGAUAACAUCAAUGGGUGACGAUUCGCCCUUAUCCAUCUUCCCGCCAUCAGCGGUCACGGUCCAUUUCCGCUGCACAAACGCCCGCGGAUGUUUUCCUGAUUAAAGCGGCAGAUACAGCGCGUGUGGGCGGGAUAAGCGAGUCAAGUGCAGCCUGACUGUCACUGGUGAUGAUGCGGGGAUUUUUUUCUUUGCUGAGGAUGAUGUCCCACAUUCCUGCCGUCCACAAGAUGAAUAAUAACACACUAAGAGGACACCAGACAGAUGAAGAACACAUUUAAAUUCUCAUGGAGGGAGAGAGGGAGGGAUCAGUCCGAGGGUCCAUAAACAUCAGGAGAAAGUCUGAGUCGCCCUCAUUGUCCGUGUUACAGCAGGAGUUUGCCAUUACGAAAACGCUAUUAACAUUUAUGCUGAAAUUACCUUUGGAAUCUGUCGAGUUCCCUCGUUCGACUUUUGCUGGCAGGACUGAUGAGGCAUUCUGAGAUGACGAUGAUGAUGAAGGCCGUCUGUGGCUGAGGAAGACUCCGGGGGCCAUGGGUUGCGAGCCGCCGGCGCUUUUGCCCGUUCCAGUGCUGUAUUCGUGAUCGGCCAUGUUGCUCUCGGAGUCUGGAGUGGGUUCUGGAGAGCUGCUGUCAUGAGAGAGUUUGUGAGACUCCUCUGCAACUAUGGGCUUCUUUUUGGCGCUCUUUUUCUUCUUCUUGAUCUUCUGCUCCUCCUGUAGUAAGAUGGAGUUAGUAGAGGCAUUUGGCGAAAUUGCUUUUACAGAUGUUUUCUAUAAAAGUAGAGGCUAUU
rnacentral:lncRNA from 1 species